rnacentral:rRNA from 1 species
GAAGACCCUAUUGAGCUUGACUCUAGUUUGUAUUUGUGACGUGAUAUUAAGGGUGUAGCAUAAGUGGGAGCCGCAAGGCGACAGUGAAAUACCACUACCGUAAUCAUUGCUUUACUAAGGAGAUGAUAAUAUUGGUAAACAGUGCGAGCUGUUUAUGUUGAUAAGAUCUGUAGCAGUAGAGAUGAAGUGUCUGGUGAUGUUUAUAGGUACAUCGGGUGUUUAUGGGAUGUCGGUGGUAGGGAGCAGCAAUGCUUUCAAUCAUCUUGAUAGCCCGCUCCCGGUGUUUCCUGUACGAUAGCUAGAUGCCUCUCUCUUUACUGAUUCAAUAUAUUCUUCGACAGUUUCAGAUGGGGAGUUUGGCUGGGGCGGCACAUUUGUGAAAUGAUAGCGCAAGUGUCCAAAGGUGUACUCAAAAAGGACAGAAACCUUUGUAGAGGAAAAGGCUAAACAGUACACUUGAUUGUGAUGUUCAGUACAUAUGACAACUAU